rnacentral:rRNA from 1 species
AACGAACGCUGGCGGCAGGCUUAACACAUGCAAGUCGAACGCCCCGCAAGGGGAGUGGCAGACGGGUGAGUAACGCGUGGGAACGUGCCCUUCGCUUCGGAAUAGCCUCGGGAGACUGGGAGUAAUACCGAAUACGCCGGAUUGGCAAAGAUUUAUCGGCGAAGGAUCGGCCCGCGUUAGAUUAGGUAGUUGGCUGUGUAAUGGACCACCAAGCCUACGAUCUAUAGCUGGUCUGAGAGGAUGAUCAGCCACACUGGGACUGAGACACGGCCCAGACUCCUACGGGAGGCAGCAGUGGGGAAUCUUGGACAAUGGGCGCAAGCCUGAUCCAGCCAUGCCGCGUGAGUGAAGAAGGCCUUAGGGUUGUAAAACUCUUUCGCCGGAGAAGAUAAUGACGGUAUCCGGAGAGGAAGCCCCGGCUAACUUCGUGCCAGCAGCCGCGGUAAGAC